UGCAUCGGCCGGGAAUCGAACCCUGGCCGCCCGCGUGGCAGGCGAGCAUUCUACCACUAAACCACCGAUGC
rnacentral:tRNA from 1 species